GACGUAGGGUGCGAGCGUUGUCCGGAUUUAUUGGGCGUAAAGAGCUCGUAGGCGGCUCGUCGCGUCGACCGUGAAAACCCGCGGCUUAACUGCGGGCUUGCGGUUGAUACGGGCGGGCUAGAGUUCGGUAGGGGAGACUGGAAUUCCUGGUGUAGCGGUGAAAUGCGCAGAUAUCAGGAGGAACACCGGUGGUGUAGACGGCUUUCUGGACCGUAACUGACGCUGAGACACGAAAGCGUGGGUAGCAAACAGG
rnacentral:rRNA from 1 species